UGCUGGGGUCAGUUCUCCACUUACCUGGAAAGAAGAGCCGGGCUGACGUGCGUCACACUGCGAGCAGAUCUCAUGGCAGAGGUAUUCAAACCAGGUGCCAACGCCGAGGAGCGAUCCUCUUAGAUCCCACCGGCUGCUGCCACGGGAGGACGUCUCGUCUCCCUCCCUCCUAAUCCACGGAGAUGUGUGAUAUAGCAUAAGCUAAUAUAAUAGGUCAUGCAAGGAUUUACAUCUCAUUACCGCAGGUUGGAGUCCUGAGAGGAAGGAUGAGUCAUCCCCACUGGAAUAUAUUUCGGGGAGAAGCGGCGGUGAAAGGCAAAUGGAAAAGCAGACGCCUGGCAGCACCGCAGCGGGCACGGUUAUAGCCAGGACCCCCAGUGUCCCUCUGAGUGCCACCUCCGUAAGGACACUGAGCUCAGGGACACGGUAGCGCCGCCGGCCCCCUGUGGAGGUGAGGCUUCCCCGUGCCUCGCAGAAGGCAAUGCCCUUUCCUUGGCCUUUUACUUCGUCCCUACAAAUGCCACCAACACCCCGGGCUGCCAAAGGCUGCAAAGGGCCAUCUCACGGCUCCUGUACCCAGGGGCACAUCCAUGUCCGAGCUGCCGGGCUCCCCCAACCUCCAUCCAUCAUCUCCUCCUAAAAAGCACCGCGGAGCCUCCAGACAGCCGGGAAUCGCGUGCUCGUUUUCACCUCACUGCUUUGUCCAAGCAGCUCAGCUCAUCAAGAGCUGCUUCCUCUGCGUUCCUCAGACAGGGAGGCUACACGGCAGCUGACCCAUCUAAUCCAGCUGGAAAAAUCGGUCCUGACUUCCAGUCUCUUGCUGUUAACCAACGCGGGCUGCAGGCGCCCUCCCAGCCCUGCAUCCAGGUGCUGCACACCCAAGGAGGUGACACCCACCCUGAGCACCAGCCCUGCCUUCCCAAAAAGCAAUCUCUGUUCCAUCAUUUUAAUCUGCAGAGAUCGUCUUUAAAUUUCCGAAAUGAAAUGAUUUUCCUGCAAGCCGGGAUUGGAGCCGGGGGUACGCCGUGUAUUUGUACGGGAGGAGAAGAAAAGAGGGAGAAACGCACGCUGGAGCCAGGCUGGCCAUCUGGAAGGGAGGCGCGUGGAAACGCCGUUAAUUGCGCGCUGCCCCCGGGGCUGCGGCCAAAGGGGAAGCAGCAGUGGGAGCGGGGUGGGAAGGGGAUGCGGGGCCGUGCGAUGGGUGCCUGCGCCUCCCUCAGCUCCCGGCUGGCGGCCGAGGGAUGCCAGGGUCGCUCGUCCAAGGCAGCGCUUGCAGGGAGCGGUGGCAGCUUGCAUUAGAAUUAAUUAACAUCAUUAACGGCGCGCUUCGGG
ensembl:lncRNA